rnacentral:rRNA from 1 species
AACGAACGCUGGCGGCAUGCCUAACACAUGCAAGUCGAACGAGACCUUCGGGUCUAGUGGCGCACGGGGGCGUAACGCGUGGGAACCUGCCCUUAGGUUCGGAAUAACUCCCCGAAAGGGGUGCUAAUACCGGAUAAUGUCUUCGGACCAAAGAUUUAUCGCCUUUGGAUGGGCCCGCGUUGGAUUAGCUAGUUGGUAGGGUAAAAGCCUACCAAGGCGACGAUGCAUAGCUGGUCUGAGAGGAUGAUCAGCCACACUGGGACUGAGACACGGCCCAGACUCCUACGGGAGGCAGCAGUGGGGAAUAUUGGACAAUGGGCGAAAGCCUGAUCCAGCAAUGCCGCGUGAGUGAUGAAGGCCUUAGGGUUGUAAAGCUCUUUUACCCGGGAUGAUAAUGACAUUACCGGGAGAAUAAGCUCCGGCUAACUCCGUG